GAUGGAUAACCGGGAGAAAUCCCGCCUAAUACAGCAUGACGCCGGGAAGGGACAUCCCUUUCCGGCCAAAGGGGGCGACUCCGGUCACGGAUGGGCAUGCGGCGCAUUAGGUAGUUGGUGGGGCAACGGCCCACCAAGCCGACGAUGCGUAGGGGUUCUGAGAGGAAGGUCCCCCACAUUGGAACUGAGACACGGUCCAAACUCCUACGGGAGGCAGCAGUGAGGAAUAUUGGUCAAUGGCCGGAAGGCUGAACCAGCCAAGUCGCGUGAGGGAAUAAGGCCUACGGGUCGUAAACCUCUUUUGUCAGGGAGCAAGGCCGCCCACGUGUGGACGGAAGGAGAGUACCUGGAGAAAAAGCAUCGGCUAACUCCGUGCCAGCAGCCGCGGUAAUACGGAGGAUGCGAGCGUUAUCCGGAUUUAUUGGGUUUAAAGGGUGCGUAGGCGGCCUGCCAAGUCAGCGGUAAAAUUGCGGGGCUCAACCCGUGAACAGCCGCUGAAACUGCCGGGCUCGAGUGGGCGGGAAGUAUGCGGAAUGCGUGGUGUAGCGGUGAAAUGCAUAGAUAUCACGCAGAACCCCGAUUGCGAAGGCAGCAUACCGGCGCCCUACUGACGCUGAGGCACGAAAGUGCGGGGAUCAAACAGGAUUAGAUACCCUGGUAGUCCGCACAGUAAACG
rnacentral:rRNA from 1 species